UGGGGAAUAUUGGACAAUGGGCGCAAGCCUGAUCCAGCAAUGCCGCGUGUGUGAAGAAGGCCUUCGGGUUGUAAAGCACUUUUAUCAGGAGCGAAACGCUGUCGGCUAAUACCCGGCGGAACUGACGGUACCUGAGGAAUAAGCACCGGCUAACUUCGUGCCAGCAGCCGCGGUAAUACGAAGGGUGCAAGCGUUAAUCGGAAUUACUGGGCGUAAAGCGUGCGUAGGCGGUUUCUUAAGUCUGCUGUGAAAUCCCCGGGCUCAACCUGGGAGUGGCAGUGGAUACUGGGAGGCUAGAGUGUGUCAGAGGGUGGUGGAAUUCCCGGUGUAGCGGUGAAAUGCGUAGAGAUCGGGAGGAACAUCAGUGGCGAAGGCGGCCACCUGGGACAACACUGACGCUGAGGCACGAAAAGCGUGGGGAGCAAACAGGAUUAGAUACCCUGGUAGUCCACGCCCUAAAACGAUGCGAACUGGAUGUUGGUCUCAACUCGGAGAUCAGUGUCGAAGCUAACGCGUUAAGUUCGCCGCCUGGGGAGUACGGUCGCAAGACUGAAAUUUAAAUGAA
rnacentral:rRNA from 1 species